rnacentral:rRNA from 1 species
AGUGAACGCUGGCGGUAGGCCUAACACAUGCAAGUCGAACGGCAGCACAGUAAGAGCUUGCUCUUACGGGUGGCGAGUGGCGGACGGGUGAGGAAUACAUCGGAAUCUACUUUUUCGUGGGGGAUAACGUAGGGAAACUUACGCUAAUACCGCAUACGACCUACGGGUGAAAGCAGGGGAUCUUCGGACCUUGCGCGAUUGAAUUAGCCGAUGUCGGAUUAGCUAGUUGGCGGGGUAAAGGCCCACCAAGGCGACGAUCCGUAGCUGGGCUGAGAGGAUGAUCAGCCACACUGGAACUGAGACACGGUCCAGACUCCUACGGGAGGCAGCAGUGGGGAAUAUUGGACAAUGGGCGCAAGCCUGAUCCAGCCAUACCGCGUGGGUGAAGAAGGCCUUCGGGUUGUAAAGCCCUUUUGCUGGGAAAGAAAAGCAGCAGGUUAAUACCCCGCUGUUCUGACGGUACCCAAAGAAUAAGCACCGGCUAACUUCGUG